AACCUUUACACUGCACGCCAGUGCGAUAAGGGGACUCCAAGUGCGAGGGCAUAUAGUCCUCGCUUUUCUGGACCGUAAGGAGGUCCAGGAACAAGGGCUGGGCAAGACCGGUGCCAGCCGCCGCGGUAAUACCGGCAGCCCAAGUGAUGGCCGCUCUUAUUGGGCCUAAAGCGUCCGUAGCUGGCCAGGCAAGUCCGUCGGGAAAUCCGCGUGCCCAACACGCGGGCGUCCGGUGGAAACUGCCUGGCUUGGGACCGGAAGACCUGAGGGGUACGUCCGGGGUAGGAGUGAAAUCCCGUAAUCCUGGACGGACCACCGGUGGCGAAAGCGCCUCAGGAAGACGGAUCCGACGGUGAGGGACGAAAGCUCGGGUCACGAACCGGAUUAGAUACCCGGGUAGUCCGAGCUGUAAACGAUGUCUGCUAGGUGUGACACAGGCUACGAGCCUGUGUUGUGCCGUAGGGAAGCCGUGAAGCAGACCGCCUGGGAAGUACGUCCGCAAGGAUGAAACUUAA
rnacentral:rRNA from 1 species